rnacentral:rRNA from 1 species
AUUGCCCACNGAAAGAUAUUUGUAUUUAUAAAAAUAUGUAUAUAUGCUAAAAUGAGUAUUGAAUUAUUUAUUAGUUUAUUUAAUAAAAUUAAACUUAACGAGUUAGUGUAAUAAAAAAAAUCUAUGAAAGGAACUCGGCAAAUAUUUGUUCUGCCUGUUUAUCAAAAACAUCGCUCGUUGCCAAUUUUAAAUAACGAGUCGAACCUGCCCAGUGAUUUUAUUUAACGGCCGCAGUACUCUGACUGUGCAAAGGUAGCAUAAUCAUUUGCCUUAUAAUUAAAGGCUAGUAUGAAUGGUUUGACAAGAAUGACGCUGUCUCUUUUAGAUUUUAUAGAAUUUGGUUUUUAGGUGAAGAAACCUAAAUAGGAUUAAAAGACAAGAAGACCCUAUCGAGCUUUAAAUAAUUUUUGUGUUAUGUUGGUAAAACUAGUUUCAUGAAAAAAUUUUGGUUGGGGCGACUAAGGAACACAAAAAGCUUCCUAUAAAGUGUAUUUACUUAUAAGUUUUGAUCCAAAAAAUUUGAUUAACAGAAUUAGUUACCGUAGGGAUAACAGCAUAAUCUUUUUUGAGAGUUCCUAUCGAAAAAAAGGUUUGUGACCUCGAUGUUGGACUAGGGUACCCAGAAAGGUGCAGAAGCCUUCAAUGGUUGGUCUGUUCGACCACUAAUACCCUACAUGAUCUGAGUUCAGACCGGCGUGAGCCAGGUCAGUUUCUAUCUUUAAUUAUUUUGACCUAA